UACGUAGGCAGCAAGCGUUGUUCGGAGUUACUGGGCGUAAAGAGUGCGUAGGCGGUUUCGUAAGUUUGGUGUGAAAUCUCCCGGCUUAACUGGGAGGGUGCGCCGAAAACUGCGGGGCUGGAGUAUGGGAGAGGUAAGCGGAAUUCCUGGUGUAGCGGUGAAAUGCGCAGAUAUCAGGAGGAACACCGAUGGCGAAGGCAGGUCUCUGGGCAUUAACUGACGCUGAGGAGCGAAAGCAUGGGGAGCGAACAGG
rnacentral:rRNA from 1 species